rnacentral:rRNA from 1 species
UACGAAGGUGGCAAGCGUUAUUCGGAUUUACUGGGCGUACAGGGAGCGUAGGCGGUUCGGUAAGCCCUUUGUGAAAUCUCCAGGCUUAACCUGGAACAGUCGGAGGGGACUGCCGGGCUAGAGGACGGGAGAGGAGCGCGGAAUUCCCGGUGUAGCGGUGAAAUGCGUAGAUAUCGAGCGGAACACCAGUGGCGAAGGCGAGUCUCUGGACAAUUCCUGACACUGAUGCUCGAAAGCUAGGGGAGCAAACGGG